AUACGAAGGGGGCUAGCGUUGUUCGGAAUCACUGGGCGUAAAGCGCACGUAGGCGGAUUGAUCAGUUAGGGGUGAAAUCCCGAGGCUCAACCUCGGAACUGCCUUUAAUACUGUCAGUCUAGAGACCGGAAGAGGUGAGUGGAACUCCUAGUGUAGAGGUGGAAUUCGUAGAUAUUAGGAAGAACACCAGUGGCGAAGGCGGCUCACUGGUCCGGUACUGACGCUGAGGUGCGAAAGCGUGGGGAGCGAACAGGAUUAGAAACCCUAGUAGUCC
rnacentral:rRNA from 1 species